rnacentral:rRNA from 1 species
UACGGAGAGGGCUAGCGUUAUUCGGAAUCAUUGGGCGUAAAGGGCGCGUAGGCUGGUUAGUAAGUUAAAAGUGAAAUCCCAAGGCUCAACCUUGGAACUGCUUUUAAAACUGCUAAUCUAGAGAUUGAAAGAGGAUAGAGGAAUUCCUAGUGUAGAGGUGAAAUUCGUAAAUAUUAGGAGGAACACCAGUGGCGAAGGCGUCUAUCUGGUUCAAAUCUGACGCUGAGGCGCGAAGGCGUGGGGAG